CAACAAACUGGAAGGAAAAAGAAAUCUUUUAUUUCAAGUUCAUCGACUAUCCACAACAUACAAUUUAUUGGUUAACAAUAGUUGAAAGAAUCCAACAGAAUUUGGAAUCUAUGAUGAAAGACAGCUCAGUAAACCAGCUAAUGAUUGGAAACACAGGUCUAGCUUCAUUCCAUUAGCAGUAAAAGGACUUUAGAUGUUUGAAUCUCUAUGUUGGCCCUAAUGGAGUUUGAUUAAACUGGAGUGACCCUACCAGAGGAGAAUAAUCUUCAUUAUUCUUCAUUACUAGCUAAUCUGGCUAGUAAACAUAAAAAGGUGAAGGCCCUACAGUUUUGUAAGGCCCACGCUGCCACUGGAGUGUAGAAAGCCCUAAUGCUUCAAUGCUGUUCACUUCCAAAGUAUGCAUCUGUUAAGGACACAGCCAGUACACCUGUCGGGAACUCUACUACUUUAUGAAUCUACAGAUGCAAUAAAGCGAGGAAAGCUGAAGGCUGGCUCUGCAGCAAAAAUGAUACUCAUGGUCAAUAAGCCUGUGAUCAACUACAGGUGCUUACUAUGUGCCAAGACCUUUGCUUGGUGCUUCUCAUGCAGAAUAUUAUUUAACUGCCACAAAAGUCCUAUAGUAUACGUAUGAUAUCACCGUUUUGCAAAUUGUGAGUCUGUAACUAUGAGAGGUAGAGUGACUUCCUCAAGCUGGUGUUUAAUCCUGUAUCAGUCAAUAUAAGAAACAGGCUGCUUAAAGUCAAUGCAGUGCUUUUACUUUAUCACACAAAAGCUCCUUUUAAAUAUGAGAAAUUAUAGGAAUUUAUUUAUCUUCCCUCCCUGGUAUAAAUAAAUACCAUGGUAUAAGUAAUAAAUAAAUGCAAAUAUUCUGGCUCUAAAA